rnacentral:tRNA from 1 species
UCCCUAGUAGCUUAGUUCAUAAAGAAUCUGCCUGCAAUGCAGGAGACCUGGGUUCGAUUCCUGGGUCAGGAA